rnacentral:rRNA from 1 species
AUUGAACGCUGGCGGCAUGCCUUACACUUGCAAGUCGAACGGCAGCACGGGAGCAAUCCUGGUGGCGAUUGGCGAACGGGUGAGUAACGUAUCGGAACGCGGCCAGUCGUGGGGGAUAACGUAGCGAAUGUUACGCUAAUACCGCAUACGCACUACGGAUGAAAGCGGGGGGUCGCAGCACCGCUGGCGAUUGUACCGGCCGAUGACUGAUUAGGUAGUUGGUGGGGUAAAGGCUCACCAAGCCGACGAUGGGUAGCUGAUCUGAGAGGACGACCAGCCACACUGGGACUGAGACACGGCCCAGACUCCUACGGGAGGCAGCAGUGGGGAAUUUUGGACAAUGGGCGAAAGCCUGAUCCAGCAAUGCCGCGUGCAGGAUGAAGGCCUUCGGGUUGUAAACUGCUUUUGUACGGAACGAAAAGGUGUGGCCUAAUAAGCUGAGCUCAUGACGGUACCGUAAGAAUAAGCACCGGCUAACUACGUGCCAGCCGCCGCCGUAA